rnacentral:rRNA from 1 species
AUGGCGACUUCCAUGGUGACGGACUUCGGCGACGGCCACUGCAUCGUGGCGUUCGGCCAGGACCACGUCCACACCACCCUGACCUCCUCCGGCGGCGUCGUCGACGAGUGGCUGGACCUCGUCUACCGCAUCCACCGCCGCCGCCUCGACCGCCUCGUCGUCGGCCUCGACGUCGAGUGGCGCCCCUCGUUCCGCGGCCUCCCGCCGGGCCCCGUCGCGCUGCUGCAGCUGUGCGUCGGCCGCCGCUGCCUCGUCUUCCAGAUCCUCCGCGCCGACUACGUCCCGGACUCCCUCUUCGACUUCCUCGCCGACGGCCGCUUCACCUUCGUCGGCGUCGGGGUCUACGGCGACGCGCAGAAGCUCAGCGCUCACUACGGGCUGCAGGUGACGAACGCGGUGGACCUGCGCUACCUCGCCGCGAACAUGCAGGUGAUGGGCGUGUGGCCCGAGAAGCCGCACCACGUGCGGGUCAGCGCCUGGGACGCGCCGCGGCUGACGCGGGACCAACUGCAGUAUGCUUGCGCCGACGCCUUUGCAUCGUUCGAGGUCGGCCGGAGGCUCUACGACGGCGAAUAUUAG